UCCCUAGUAGCUCAGAUGAUAAAGAAUCUGCCUGCAAUGCAGGAGCCCCAGGUUCUAUCCCUGGAUCGGGAA
rnacentral:tRNA from 1 species